CACACGAAGAUGUUAACUUAGCCCUUACAGCACUCGAGCAGAAGCUUUGCAAACAUUUUGUUCGGAUUGCCAUAGUAGGAAAGAGAGGGAGGAAAGUCCCUGUUCUCCUUACCCCGGUCAUGAGAGAAUCACUCGAUACUCUGACUGAAAAGCGAGAAGAAUGUGGAGUACUGAGUGAAAACGCAUGCUUGUUUGCAUUGCCGCUCUCUGUCCAUUAGUUGAGGGGUUCCGAUUGCAUUAGGCAGUUUGUGAAUGAAUGUGAUGACAUCAAACAUCCCAAAGCGCUAACCUCAACAAAACUUAGGAAACACAUUGCUUAGGAAGCACAUCGACUGUUCUGAAUCUCAAGACUACAGAACUCGACCAAUUGGCAGAUUUCCUUGGGCAUAACAUUGAGGUCCACAGAAAGCACUACCGCCUUCCAGAGGGCACCCCCCAGCUAGCUAAAAUAACCAAAGUUCUUCCAGCGCUGGAACAGGGACGGCUAGGAGAAUACAAGGGGAAGAAUCUGGAUGAAAUCCAGCUUGAUGUGACUGAGACUGUUGACAUGGAUGGGUGUUCACAAGAGGAAGAUGACUUUAUUCCAGAAGUACAGGAGCCUGAAGUUGAGGACAGUGUGGCAUCCACAGAGGAACCUACUUCCACACAGGAACCUACUUCCACAUAGGAACCUACUUCCACGCUGCAUUCCCAAUACCAGAGAAAGUCGGCAAAAAAGAGAGGUAAAGAAACUGCUGCCAAAAGAAGCUGGGCAACAGAUGAAUGUGCGGCAGUAGAAAGGCACCUAAGGAAAUUCAUUGUGAGGAGCCAAGUUCAAGGGAAAAAGGACUGCGUUGAUGCAGAAGCUCAAGCUUUAGGAAAUCGAGACUGGAAGGCGGUCAAAUACUUCAUCAAAAAUCGUAUUUCUGCCAUAAGAAGGAAAGUACAGUGAAAUACAGGUAGCUCAACGUAUUGGAUGCCUUCCACUAGCAUUCACAUCGGGACAUGUUCUUAGUGUUUUCAACAGUUGAAAUUUAGUUGUUUUCAUUGUAUUAUCCUCUUAAAGGGUUAGUUGUCACCAUUUACUCUUUGUCAUUUCAAACCCAUAAGAAAUUAGUUCAUCUUUGGAACACAAAAUAUGUUUUGAAUGUUUCCUCCAUUGUUUGCAUUGCCGCUCUGUCCAUUACUUGAUGGGUUCCGAUUGCAUUAGGCAGUUUGUGAAUGAAUGUGAUGACAUCAAACACCCCAAAGCGCUAACCUCAAAAAACUAAGGAAACGCAUUGCUAUCUGUUCAUCCUAAACUUUCAAGCUUCAGAGCAUUUAUAAUGUAGAAGUAAUCCAUGUGGUUUAAUCCCAGUUUUGUGAUGUGAAUGCUCUCUCACUUAAUCCACCCACUUAACAUUAUCCAACAAUUGCAAUAACUGUGAACUGGACUUUGCAUUGAUGCAGCAAACUCAAUUAUACACAUUUUCUGGUUAAAAGGGAUUCUUUGUCUCAUAGGCCCUUUUCCUUCUUUGUUAUAUGUUGCUCUGCACUGUUUUUGUGCUAAUGUUGAUCUCACUUAAUCCAUCUAUUAUUCAUAUUAUCCACCAAUGCAAUAACUCUGAACUGGACUUUGCAUCGCUGCAGCGCACACAAUUAUACAAAUUUUUCCUGGUUACCAAUGAUUCUUCACCUCGUAUGUGAUUUUGUGUUAUUACCAAAUAUAUGUUCAUUGAGGACAAAUCAUGUUUUAAAGUUGUUGUUUUUUUAAUCCAGUGUUUAGUGUAAAAUAUUACUCACGGUAUUAGUGCUAGAAUUCCACAGGGUCUUAAAGUCUUUAUUCAUUAGAUGAAUAGGGUGUUUUGAUGUGAAGUCCUCAAUUUAAAGCAGUAUAUUAUCUUUAGGUCGCAGUCAACAUGACUGGCUAGGAACAUGACUUUAUUAGAAAUAGAAGAAAAAUAACCAUGGGACAAACAAGAUCCCCUUCAGCAAAACUGCACCAAUACAAUGCAGACAAAGUACAGUUGGCGUCCUGCAGACUGAAGCAGUUCAGGCUGUGACCAAUAUUUGAGGGCUCAUUGAUUUAGAAAAGUCUCUGGAGUGGCUCUUUUAUGCCAUGUUAAUGGCUAAACUAAUAUAGACAUGUGCGGAUUAAUUUAGAGGAUAUACAUUAUAAUCUAAAAAAGUUUAUAUGGUAAUCAAGGGCAAAUAAUGGAAGUAGUUGAUGUUUUACAGAUAGUGACUUUGGUCCCUUCUAAGAUAUAAAGAUUAGAAAUGUCUGUGUAUCUGUGAAAGUGGACCCCACAACUCCUAAAUGUUAAAUCCGGGCCCCACAAAUGACUCAAAAACGCAUGUGCAAACAAUUUUGUUUGAAUUUUGGUAUAUUGAAGUGAUAUUUAUUAUUAGGAAUUUUUUGUUAUCUUGCUUGAUUUUUUACAAGUCUGUAGAACCACUGGAAGUGGUGGACCCCACAAUUGGGCAAAAAACGGUGGUCCCCCUUA